UCAGACUAUAAAGUUAGGAACAGGCGUCUAAUCACACUUUUUAUUUUUGCCAAUUGGUGUACAGAAUCAUGCUCCAUAGUGGAAAACGGCCCAGCCACUCAUAUCAUCUGCACUUGCAGGAAUGGCUGAAAAGGGGACCUGAUACAGACCCUGUCCUGCAGACCACCACGGCCAGGACAACGGAGAGAGAAGAGGAGAUAACAGGCCUGGAUUUUAACAUGGAUUUCCACAUGCGCCUGGAAUGUACAAAGCUGAAAUAAGCAUUGCUCCCACACUGGCAACAAUGAAAAAUCCAGAUGAAAUAUAAAAUCACAAAUUCCCUUCAACCCAUUAGAAUGCUGACUUUGCAGGGCAAUCAAGCACCCUGAAAUUAAGGAAAAGCAAGCCUUUCUCCCAGGAUACAGAACACAACUGCUGUCACCUGAAGCAGGACACAGAGAAAGACGCC